rnacentral:rRNA from 1 species
UACGUAGGAUCCGAGCGUCGUCCGGAUUUACUGGGAGUAAAGGGCGUGUAGGUGGACCUUUAAGUCGGCAGUGAAAUCCUGCAGCUUAACUGCAGAAUUGCUUUCGAAACUGGAGGUCUUGAGUGCGGCAGAGGGAGAUGGAAUUCAUGGUGUAGCGGUGAAAUGUGUAGAUAUCAUGAAGAACACCGGUAGCGAAGGCGGUCUCCUGGUCCGCAACUGACACUGAGGCGCGAAAGCGUGGGGAG